UACGGAGGGAGCUAGCGUUGUUCGGAAUUACUGGGCGUAAAGCGCACGUAGGCGGCUUUGUAAGUUAGAGGUGAAAGCCCGGAGCUCAACUCCGGAACUGCCUUUAAAACUGCAUCGCUUGAAUCCAGGAGAGGUGAGUGGAAUUCCGGGUGUAGAGGUGAAAUUCGUAGAUAUUCGCAAGAACACCAGUGGCGAAGGCGGCUCACUGGCCCGAUACUGACGCUGAGGCACGAAAGCGUGGGGAGCAAACAGG
rnacentral:rRNA from 1 species